GGAAAUGGGGGAAAAAUGGGGAAAAUUACCCCAAAAUCAGCACAAAAAUCAGCCCAAAAUCAGCCCUAAAUCACCCAAAAAUCAGCACAAAAAUCGGCGCCAAAUCACCCCAAAAUCACCCAAAAAUUGGCACCAAAAUCAGCCCAAAAUCAGCCCAAAAAUAGCCCAAAAUCAGACUCAAAUCACCCAAAAAUCGGCACAAAAUCAGCCCAAAAAUAGACCCAAAAUCAGCCCCAAAAAUCAGCCCCAAAAUCCCCAAAGAGCCGGAUCACAAACGAGUCUGCAAUGGGGAAAAAUGGGAAAAAAUGGGGAAAAUCAGCACAAAAAUGGGCACAAAAAUCAGCAAAAAAUCAGCACAAAAAUCGGCCCAAGAAUGGGGAAAAGUACCCCAACAUCAGCCCAAAUUCAGCCCCAAAAUUGGCCCAAAAAUGGGGAGAAAUUGGCCUAAAAUGAGCCCAAAAUUCAGCCCAAAAGGAGCCCAAAAUUGGCCCAAAAAUGGGGAAAAAUCAGCCUAAAAUGAGCCCCAAAAUCAGCCCAAAAGUGGGAAAAAAUCAGCUCAAAAUCAGCCCAAAAAUGGGGAAAAUCAGCACAAAAAUCACCCAAAAAUCAGCCCCAAAUCUCUAUAAAAUCAGCCCAAAAAUCGGCACAAAAUCACCCCUAAAUCAGCCCCAAAUCAGCCAAAAAUCAGCACAAAAAUCGGCACAAAAUCAGCACAAAAUCACCCAAAAAUCAGCACAAAAUCACACAAAAAUCAGCCCCAAAAUCCCCAAAGAGCCGGAUCACAAACGAGUCUGCAAUGGGGGAAAUGGGAAAAAAUUGGAGAAAAUCAGCACAAAAAUCACCCAAAAAUCAGCCCAAAAAUAGCGCAAAUUCAGCCCCAAAUCACCCCAAAAUCAGCACAAAAAUCACUCAAAAAUCAGCCCAAAAACAGCCCAAAAAUCGGCACAAAAUCAGCCAAAAAUCAGCCCAAAAUCACCCAAAUAUCAGCCCAAAAUCAGCACAAAAAUCAGCCCCAAAAUCCCCAAAGAGCCGGAUCACAAACGAGUCUGCAACGGGGAAAAAUGGGGAAAAUUACCCCAAAAUCAGCACAAAAAUCAGCAAAAAAAUCAACCCAAAAUCACCCAAAAAUCGGCACAAAAUCAGCCAAAAAUCACCCAAAAAUCAGCCCCAAAAUCCCCAAAGAGCCGGAUCACAAACGAGUCUGGGAAAGGGGAAAAUGGGGGAAAAAAUGGGAAAAAUUACCCCAAAAUCAGCACAAAAAUCAGCAAAAAAAUCAACCCAAAAUCACCCAAAAAUCGGCACCAAAAUCACCCCAAAGUCAGCCCCAAAUCAGCACAAAAUCAGACUCAAAUCAACCCAAAAUCACCCAAAAAUCAGCCCAAAAAUCAGCCCCAAAAUCCCCAAAGAGCCGGAUCACAAACGAGUCUGCAGCGGGGGAAAUGGGGGAAAAAUGGGAAAAAUUACCCCAAAAUCAGCACAAAAUCACCCAAAAAUCAGCCCAAAAAUA
rnacentral:lncRNA from 1 species